rnacentral:misc_RNA from 1 species
GAAAUGCGAUAAGUAGUGUGAAUUGCAGAAUUCAGUGAAUCAUCGAAUCUUUGAACGCACAUUGCGCCCUUUGGUAUUCCUUAGGGCAUGCCUGUUCGAGCGUCAUUUACACCUUCAAGCUCUGCUUGGUGUUGGGCGUCUGUCCUUGCCCCCCGGGGCGGGGACUCGCCUUAAAUGUAUUGGCGGCCGGUAUUGUGGCUUUGAGCGCAGCAGAAUUGCGGACCUCUUUGCCUGAGUGUACUGGCUCCCAGAAGCCCAUUUUCUUGUUUUGACCUCGGAUCAGGUAGGGAUACCCGCUGAACUUAA